UAGCUUUGUCCUAAGUCAAACUUCUUCAAGUUUGACCAAGUUUAUAGAAAAAUCAAUUAAGAUCUACAAUAUCAAAUGGAAAUAUAUAUAAUGAUAAAUUUAAUAUGACUAAUUUGGAGCUCUAGAUGUUGGUAGUUCUUUUCUAUAAACUUGGUCAAACUUAAAGAAGUUUGACUUAGGACAAAGCUAG
rfam:Brachypodium distachyon strain Bd21 chromosome 3, whole genome shotgun sequence.